rnacentral:rRNA from 1 species
ACUCCUACGGGAGGCAGCAGUAGGGAAUCUUCCACAAUGGGCGCAAGCCUGAUGGAGCAACACCGCGUGAGUGAAGAAGGGUUUCGGCUCGUAAAGCUCUGUUGUUAAAGAAGAACACGUAUGAGAGUAACUGUUCAUACGUUGACGGUAUUUAACCAGAAAGUCACGGCUAACUACGUGCCAGCAGCCGCGGUAAUACGUAGGUGGCAAGCGUUAUCCGGAUUUAUUGGGCGUAAAGAGAGUGCAGGCGGUUUUCUAAGUCUGAUGUGAAAGCCUUCGGCUUAACCGGAGAAGUGCAUCGGAAACUGGAUAACUUGAGUGCAGAAGAGGGUAGUGGAACUCCAUGUGUAGCGGUGGAAUGCGUAGAUAUAUGGAAGAACACCAGUGGCGAAGGCGGCUACCUGGUCUGCAACUGACGCUGAGACUCGAAACGCAGUGGGUAGCGAACAGGAUUAGAUACCCUGGUAGGAUACG